GGAAACCAAUUGCUCCGCCGCUCGGAGCACACUAGUCGCCGAUCGCCGCCCGUCGCCCGCCGCCGCCGCCGCAACUGAAAUUAUGGGCUCAGAGAUGGAGAUAGUCGAGCAAAGGCUAAACACUUUUGUAAGUCAGCUGCAGACAGAGUUUGCCAUUCUCGAUCGUCUCGUUUACAAAAAUAAAAACCAGCAUAGAAGAUGCUCAUAUUUUCAGUACCUCUUAAAGGUGCGAAGAGAUGUGAGGCUCCUCCAAACAACUAACUUGGAGGAGGUUUUGAGUGACUCCUUUCAAGUUCUUAACGGAAAAAGACCCAAGCAAAAAGUGCAGCUUCUGGAAAGCCUAAAGAGGAGAAGAUCUAAUGGUGGCAAAUAUAACUUUCUGGAGCGGCUUUUAGGGGUUGCGCAUCUGUUGUCACAGAUGGUUGAGCCAGUUUUAAGGGCCGCGUCGGAGAUAUCCACACUUCUUGCACGAUCAUUUUUUAUGGGAUUUUCGCUGACAGUAUUGUCCUUGCUUGCCCGAAUAAGAGUUCUAGUUCAGCAAAUUCUUCUAGAUGUUGUUUGUGUAUUCAACAAUGUUUCCUCUUUAUCACAGAGGGAACAAGCCAUCAAAUUGACUCAAGAUGGUUUUGAGGUUUUUAGAGAAUAUUUUCCGCCAAAGCAGCAGGUGGUCUUCCUCGAAUGUAUUUGGGAAUCUGAUAAGUAUAUGUUAGUUGAGAGACAAAAUCAGAAAGAUGUUGGAAGCCAGGAAAAGGAUGUUGGAGAAGAUGUUUCUGUAGAAGCAUCUAAGGUUCAGUAUGAAAGCAUUGGGCUUUUCCUAGGAGAUGAUGAACCUGGACAGACGGCCUCUAAAGAUUCAGCUGAGGAUGGUCAAACUAUGAAGGACAACGAUAUAGUAGAUUCCUUGGAGGAUCCUAUCCAAGAUAGUAAUGAUGAAUCUCAAGCUCAAGUUGAUUCAACUAUUGCAGAACCUUCUGGAAAUAAUUUUGAUGCUCCUGAAGCCGGAGCACUUCCAAGUUCAUCACGAGACAAGAAUCCUUCAAAAGCCAAACAUGGAUCAAGAAAUAGCGUUGCAUUUGUUUCAGUAAAAAGACCCAAACUGUCAACAAACAAUGAGUUGGGGUUUGACAUUCAUAGAACAGAAAAGGUUGAUAAUCCUGGUGUAGAUAAAGAAGAUCCAUUUUUCAGUUUACUUUUUAGUGGAAAUGUGAAGAGCAGUCUAUUCUGAACUUCACCUAAAUAGUUUUUCAUAUCUCCUUGUUUUUCUCUGUUAACUAGGCUGCGGCGCAUCUUUGCGUCCAUAUAUGUGAGUUGAUGCUCAAUCAUGUUCAAAUUUGGACAAUUUAUCCCAAUUGGUUUUAAAUUUUU
rnacentral:misc_RNA from 1 species